UACGUAGGGGCCUAGCGUUGUCCGGAUUUAUUGGGCGUAAAGAGCUCGUAGGCGGCACGGUUAGUCAGGUGUGAAAUCCCGCGGCUCAACCGCGGGUCUGCAGUCGAUACGGGCAGGCUAGAGUUCGGUAGGGGAGACUGGAAUCCCUGGUGUAGCGGUGAAAUGCGCAGAUAUCAGGAGGAACACCGAUGGCGAAGGCAGGUCUCUGGGCCGAUACUGACGCUGAGGAGCGAAAGCGUGGGGAGCGAACAGG
rnacentral:rRNA from 1 species